rnacentral:rRNA from 1 species
CCUACGGGGGGCUGCAGUCGAGAAUCUUCCGCAAUGGACGAAAGUCUGACGGAGCGACGCCGCGUGAUUGAUGAAGCCUUUCGGGGUGUAAAAAUCUUUUAUGAGGGAUGACAUAGCGACAGUACCUCAUGAAUAAGGGGCUGCUAAUCUCGUGCCAGCAGCAGCGGUAAUACGAGAGCCCCAAGCGUUAUCCGGAAUUACUGGGCGUAAAGAGUUUGUAGGCGGCGUAGUUAGUCUUCUGUUAAAUCCAUCGGCUCAACCGAUGAACUACCGAG